GACGAACGCUGGCGGCGUGCUUAACACAUGCAAGUCGAACGGAAAGGCUCCAGCUUGCUGGCGUACUCGAGUGGCGAACGGGUGAGUAACACGUGGGUAAUCUGCCCUGCACUCUGGGAUAAGCCUGGGAAACUGGGUCUAAUACUGGAUAUGACCUUUCUCCUUAUGGGGUUUGGUGGAAAGUUUUUCGGUGUAGGAUGAGCCCGCGGCCUAUCAGCUUGUUGGUGGGGUGAUGGCCUACCAAGGCGACGACGGGUAGCCGGCCUGAGAGGGUGAUCGGCCACAUUGGGACUGAGAUACGGCCCAGACUCCUACGGGAGGCAGCAGUGGGGAAUAUUGCACAAUGGGCGGAAGCCUGAUGCAGCGACGCCGCGUGAGGGAUGACGGCCUUCGGGUUGUAAACCUCUUUCAGCAGGAACGAAGCGUAAGUGACGGUACCUGCAGAAGAAGCACCGGCUAACUAUGU
rnacentral:rRNA from 1 species